GUUUUGGGGGGGAGAUAAAUGCAGUCGUGCGUCUCCGAGCUAUGGUGGAGACGCGGCAUACGGCUCAGUAACACGUGGCUAACCCACCCUUGAGACGGGGACAACCCCGGGAAACUGGGGCUAAUCCCCGAUAGGAGAAGACCCCUGGAAUGGGUCUCCUCCCAAAGGACACUUGGACCAUGCUUCUAGGUGUUGCUCAAGGACGGGGCCGCGGCCGAUCAGGUUGUUGGUGAGGUAAUGGCUCACCAAGCCUAUAACCGGUACGGGCCGUGAGAGCGGGAGCCCGGAGAUGGGCACUGAGACAAGGGCCCAGGCCCUACGGGGCGCAGCAGUUGCGAAAACUCGCCAAUGCACGAAAGUGUGAGCGGGCUACCCCGAGUGCCGUCCGCUGAGGACGGCUUUUCCCCGGUGUAAGGAGCCGGGGGAAUAAGGAGAGGGCAAGUCUGGUGUCAGCCGCCGCGGUAAUACCAGCACCCCGAGUGGUCGGGACGAUUAUUGGGCCUAAAGCGUCCGUAGCUGGCUUGGUAAGUUUCCCGUUAAAUCCGACGAUCCAAUCGCCGGGCUGCAGGAAAUACUGUCAAGCUAGGAGGCGGGAGAGGCCGGCGGUACUUUUGGGGUAGGGGUGAAAUCCUAUAAUCCUAAGAGGACCUCCAGUGGCGAAGGCGGCCGGCCAGAACGCGCUCGACGGUGAGGGACGAAAGCUGGGGGAGCAAACCGGGUUAGAUACCCGGGUAGUCCCAGCUGUAAACGAUGCGGGCUAAGUGUCGGGAUGGUCAUAGAACCAUUCCGGUGCUGCAGGGAAGCCGUUAAGCCCGCCGCCUGGGGGAGUACGGCCGCAAGGUUGAAACUUAAAGGAAUUGGGCGGGGGAGCACCACAAGGGGUGAAGCUUGCGGUUCAAUUGGAGUCAACGCCGGG
rnacentral:rRNA from 1 species